UGGGGAAUAUUGGACAAUGGGCGAAAGCCUGAUCCAGCAAUGCCGCGUGAGUGAAGAAGGCCUUCGGGUUGUAAAGCUCUUUUACCCGGGAAGAUAAUGACCGUACCGGGAGAAUAAGCCCCGGCUAACUCCGUGCCAGCAGCCGCGGUAAUACGGAGGGGGCUAGCGUUGUUCGGAAUCACUGGGCGUAAAGCGUGCGUAGGCGGCCAUUCAAGUCAGAGGUGAAAGCCCAGGGCUCAACCCUGGAACUGCCUUUGAAACUAGAUGGCUGGAACACGGGAGAGGUGAGUGGAAUUCCGAGUGUAGAGGUGAAAUUCGUAGAUAUUCGGAAGAACACCAGUGGCGAAGGCGGCUCACUGGACCGUUGUUGACGCUGAGGCACGAAAGCGUGGGGAGCAAACAGG
rnacentral:rRNA from 1 species